rnacentral:rRNA from 1 species
AUAUCAAUAAGCGGAGGAAAAGAAACUAACAAGGAUUCCCCUAGUAACUGCGAGUGAAGCGGGAUGAGCUCAAAUUUAAAAUCUGGCGUCUCUGGCGUCCGAGUUGUAACCUAGAGAAGCGUUUUCAGCCGCCGGCCGUGGACAAGUCCCUUGGAACAGGGCGUCAUAGAGGGUGAGAAUCCCGUCCUUGCCACGACACCGUGUGUCUAUGUGAUACGCUCUCGAAGAGUCGAGUUGUUUGGGAAUGCAGCUCAAAAUGGGAGGUAUGUUCCUUCUAAAGCUAAAUAUUGGCGAGAGACCGAU